rnacentral:tRNA from 1 species
GGAGAGAUGUCCGAGCUGGCCGAAGGAGCGCGACUGGAAAUCGCGUGUACCAUCACAAGUGGUACCGAGGGUUCGAAUCCCUCUCUCUCCGCCA